GAGAGAGAGAGGCUUUCCUAUGAAGAACAGAUUAUUUGAGCAAUCUUGUUUCAGAAAGGGAAGUAUGCAAUAAAAAUCAAACAAUUUUAAAUCUGUAACUUAUUUUAAAGAGUCACAAACCAUUUGGGGCAAAAGCAAAAGAAAUAAAAACAGCAGCAAACAUUUUUAGCUUUAACAUUAAUCUUUUAAACUAUCUCUGGCCUUUUCUCUGGCUAAAAGGAAAGAAGUCUUCAGAUCCACUCUAAAGUCUUUCUUAGACUGAGAAGCCUCUGAUACCUUUUCAAAGCAGCUUAGUGUCACACAUUUUUUUGAGUUAUCCUCUAAGAGUCUGUUUGCAACUUAUUAGAAAAAAUUUUUCAGUUGCCUUCUGACCAUGACCAUAAAAUGACAAUGAAUUCUCAUUUUAUCCAGUUCCAAAUUACUCUCUGACCUUUAUCAUAACAGAGAAACAUCUUUCCACCCCUUACAAUCCAUAAGAACAAAAUUUACAUGAAAGGAAGCAACCUCAAAGCUAGAUUAUCUGACUCCCAGACCAGUGUGAUCUUCCUGCCAUCUUCAGCUGCAUUUCAUGGAGUUUUGCCAGACCUGAUAUUUCUACAUUCUAAACUGCCAGCCCCUAAUGAUCUCUUUCAUCUUUGAACUUCUGUGAGAUUUAUUAUGUAUACUAAUGUGUUUUCUAAAAUUGAUCCAU
rnacentral:lncRNA from 1 species